rnacentral:rRNA from 1 species
UACGUAGGGGGCAAGCGUUGUCCGGAAUCAUUGGGCGUAAAGAGCGCGUAGGCGGCCCUGUAAGUCCGCUGUGAAAGUCAAGGGCUCAACCCUUGGAUGCCGGUGGAUACUGCAGGGCUAGAGUCCGGAAGAGGCGAGUGGAAUUCCUGGUGUAGCGGUGAAAUGCGCAGAUAUCAGGAGGAACAUCGGUGGCGAAGGCGGAUCUCUGGGCCUUACCUGACGCUGAGGCGCGAAAGCUAGGGGAGCGAACAGG